rnacentral:rRNA from 1 species
CACGUAGGGCGCAAGCGUUGUCCGGAAUUAUUGGGCGUAAAGAGCUCGUAGGCGGUCUGUUACGUCUGCUGUGAAAACCCGGGGCUUAACCCUGGGCUUGCAGUGGAUACGGGCAGACUAGAGGCAGGUAGGGGAGAAUGGAAUUCCCGGUGUAGCGGUGAAAUGCGCAGAUAUCGGGAGGAACACCAGCGGCGAAGGCGGGCAUCUGGGCUAACACUGACGCUGAGGCGCGAAAGCUAGGGGAGCAAACAGG